CCUACGGGAGGCAGCAGUGGGGAAUAUUGGACAAUGGGGGCAACCCUGAUCCAGCCAUGCCGCGUGUGUGAAGAAGGCCCUCGGGUUGUAAAGCACUUUCAGUGAGGAAGAACGCCUGGUGGUUAAUACCCAUCAGGAAAGACAUCACUCACAGAAGAAGCACCGGCUAAACUCCGUGCCAGCAGCCGCGGUAAUACGGAGGGUGCGAGCGUUAAUCGGAAUUACUGGGCGUAAAGCGCGCGUAGGUGGCUUGAUAAGCCGGUUGUGAAAGCCCCGGGCUCAACCUGGGAACGGCAUCCGGAACUGUCAAGCUAGAGUGCAGGAGAGGAAGGUAGAAUUCCCGGUGUAGCGGUGAAAUGCGUAGAGAUCGGGAGGAAUACCAGUGGCGAAGGCGGCCUUCUGGACUGACACUGACACUGAGGUGCGAAAGCGUGGGUAGCAAACAGGAUUAGAUACCCUUGUAGUC
rnacentral:rRNA from 1 species